rnacentral:misc_RNA from 1 species
GGAAAAUUAAAAUUGGAAAAAAAAAAAAAAAGAUACAACACAGAUGAUUUACUGAAGAUUCUUGAAAUCUAAGCAAUGGAGGUGAAGUUGAAGUUGGAGCAAGUGGUCUGCCUGCCAAAGAGCAGAGAGCUAAACCCGAGCCUUGAAGUAGCCAAGUCGAAUUGCAACAGAUUGUUCUCCAGCUGAUACCCACCAAUAACGAUUGAAGUUCUUGGAUUUGAUCCACCAUUAACCAACCCAAGGCACAGCACAUCAUCGCUAACUUGCACUACUGAAUUCGCACCGAAGAUACUCCAAGUCACGUUCUCAUUCUGCAACACCAGGGAAAUGGUUGGCACACCAUACCCCAAACGUGUGCUAAGCACGUUCUCUGUGCUAAAGCAAACAUCAAAUGGUGCCACAGAAUCCACCCUGGUGAUGUUCCUUGCUGCAGCCUCACUGAUAAAUGUCUCAGUGACUGCCUUGAAAAUGGAAGACUCUACGACAGUGUAUGGGUUUACUGUGCUUAUUUUUGUGCCACCAUUGCCCUCGCCGUCAAUGGUCAGUAGGGUGGAGUUCAAGGGGACAGUUUUGUCGUCGAUCUUAAUAGAUGUUACCCCAAUGAAAUACUCAGCUGAGGGCUCGCCUUGGGUGGAAGCUGAAGCUGUGCUUACUGGGUUGAUGAAGAGAGGUGUGAAGGUGAGUGAUUGAGAUGUAUAUUGCACAUUAGGAAGGAAGUUAUAGGGACCAUCACCAAAGAAUAUUACUCCAUUAGAUGCUAAGCAAAUGGCAAAUUUUCUGUGGAAGCUAAAGGCGGAGGCAAAUUGAGAAGGAAGUGCGGCUCUAGUCCUGCCAAGUCCAGCCAUGCCCACAACACCACUAGCAAGACCCUCUAGUAAAGAGGUGGGAGCACAAGAGAAUAAGAACCGUGGCACAGUUACUGCUUGACCAGGGUUCGACCCAUUGGUGGAAUUGACAGAAACAACAUCUGUAGCGAGUUCACCACCCGUAGCAGCUCGUGUCACAGGGUUGUCA